UACGGUGGGCUCAAGCGUUAUCCGGAUUCACUGGGUUUAAAGGGUGCGUAGGAGGGCAGGUAAGUCAGUGGUGAAAUCUCCAAGCUUAACUUGGAAACUGCCGUUGAUACUAUCUGUCUUGAAUACCGUGGAGGUGAGCGGAAUAUGUCAUGUAGCGGUGAAAUGCUUAGAUAUGACAUAGAACACCAAUUGCGAAGGCAGCUCGCUACACGAAUAUUGACUCUGAGGCACGAAAGCGUGGGGAUCAAACAGG
rnacentral:rRNA from 1 species